GCCGGAGUAGCUCAGUUGGUCAGAGCAGGCGAUUUGUAAUCGUCAGGUCAGGGGUUCGACUCCCCUCUCCGGCU
rnacentral:tRNA from 1 species